rnacentral:tRNA from 1 species
CCCUAUGUGGUGCAAAUGGUUAACGCACUUGGAUGCUAAUCAAAAAGUUGGAGGUUCAAAUCCACUCAGAGGUG